AACCUAGCACACCUGCGGUGUGUACCUGCGGAAGGAUCAUUACCGAGUUUACAAACUCCCAACCCUUUGUGAACCUUACCAUAUUGUUGCUUCGGCGGGACCGCCCCGGCGCCUUCGGGCCCGGAACCAGGCGCCCGCCGGAGGCCCCAAACUCUUAUGUCUUUAGUGGUUUUCUCCUCUGAGUGACACAUAAACGAAUAAAUAAAAACUUUUAACAACGGAUCUCAGAUCGGAAGAGCA
rnacentral:misc_RNA from 1 species